UUUCAUAUUUAUAGUAUCGGUGAACAAUACCAAUCAAUCCAAAAGCUUCAUAUUCAGACAAUGAACGAGAUGCAGAACAAGAUUGAGCAAAAGACAUUUUUAGAAAUGAAAUUAGUCGACCCAUUUGAUGACAUGAGCAAACGUUUCGAAUGCACCAUGAUUGUAACAAGAAUUGCUGACAAUGAGCCCUGGUUCUAUCAAGGAUGCACAAAAUGCAAUACAUCAACAAAAUAUGAAGGAAAAACACAUUUGUAAACAAGGCCACAUCUCCUCUCAGAUGGUCCACAGGUAUAAAAUAUCUCUAUAUGCCACUGAUGGCACCUAUGAGCUAGAAUUCGUGCUCUUUGAUGAGAGAGCGACAUCACUUAUUGGGAAAACCGCAGAGAAAUUACUGAGACAAAGCAACAAAUCUGAAUUGCCGGAAGAGAUUAAAGCAAUUGUGGGUGAGAAAUUGACUGUUGUGGCCAAGUUUUUUCCAGGAAAAAGUAUUAAAAAGAGAGGACCUAACAAGGUCAACAAAGAUCCAACAUUUGAUAUUCUUAGUAUCAAAAAGAGGCAUGGAAAAGACCUACUCCUUUUCGUAUUCAAAAAAGAAGAGCCUGUUGUUCUCCACAGCGCUAGCUCAUCUCAACUUCCAAAGCUACCACCCCUAGUACCAAUAGAGCCAAAGACACAAGAUAUACAGGUACUGCUUUCUAUCAAAACAUCUCAAUUAUAAAUCUUAAUCCGCAAAAACAAAACUAACAUGUACAUUGCUAUGUAAGACCUCUGGUUCAGAAGCAGCAUCACCACAUGAAUUACAACUUAUGGAGAUUGAUCAGACUAGGUUAGUGGGUCUACUUUUUAUAUCUUUCUUUUCAUAUCAUCCAGAAAAUAUACAAUGUUUUGUUAUAACAUCUUUUAAUCUGAUAUGUUAUAGUUGCUUUGACAACGUCAGAGUAUCAUACAAGAGAAAUUUCAAUGCAAUUGAUGACUCCGACAAGGUAACUACUUUUCAACACAUCCGAUAAUACCCAUAUAGAUAUCAAUAUAUGUACUUAAUAUUUUUAAUUAACCUAUAUUGCUCCUUCUUUUACAGGAAGAAACACAUGGUGCUGACCAACUUUCAGUCUUUGCAAAAAGACCAAAGAUGAAGAACAAUUAGAUACCUUCUACAUAGCUACUCUUUUGAGACCUUGCAUCUAUUGUUCAAUGGAAAUAGAUCGGUUGUGGUUCUACUUACGAGAACAACAAAAUUUGGCUUCUCGCAACCAAAACUCUUUUGCAGUAUGUAUAAACAUAUGACUGUUUGCAAGCAACGUAGCAGCAGUUCUGUUAAGCUCAUCUUUUGUAAUGACAUAUCUUUAAACAUGCUGCUUUUGAUCAAAAUAACACUCACUAUCAACUCUAUAUAAUCAUAUGAUAUUGUCUGAUAUUAGCAUUUUAUUUCUAUGGUUUUUAUUGGGCAAACUUUUGAUCAAAAAUUACACUCACUAUCAGCUCUAUAUAAACAUAUAAUAUUGCCUAAUAUUAGCAUUUUAUUUAUAUGGUUCUUAUUGGGCAAUUCUCUUUUAGUUAAUUUUUUCUAUGUAGUUUAAACUAUUCCAGUUUGUUGUCACAAUUCAAGUGACAGGUCCAGAAAAAAUAUCUACCUAUUUGUAAUUUAUUAAUUGACUUUUCCUCAUAUUGUAGAAAAUAUCAGCUAAUCUGCUCACAUUUUGAUUUGCAUAUACAUAAUGGUGAUUCUGACACGAGUCAUGCUAUCUAAAGUACUUUAUU